CUGGUUGAUCCUGCCAGUAGUCAUAUGCUUGUCUCAAAGAUUAAGCCAUGCAUGUCUAAGUAUAAACUGCUUAUACUGUGAAACUGCGAAUGGCUCAUUAAAUCAGUUAUAGUUUAUUUGGUGGUACCUUCUUACUCGGAAUAACCGUAAGAAAUUUAGAGCUAAUACGUGCGUAAAUCCCGACUUCUGGAAGGGACGUAUAUAUUAGAUAAAAGGCCGACCGGGCUCUGCCCGACCCGCGGUGAAUCAUGAUAUCUUCACGAAGCGCAUGGCCUUGUGCCGGCGCUGUUCCAUUCAAAUU
rnacentral:rRNA from 1 species